AAGAGAACUCGGAAGUCAAUGGAGUUAAUUGCAGUCGGUGCUUGGUGAUUAGUGCUGGGGAUAUCUUUCUACCUCUAAUCAUAGUGAUUCGAGUGCACUUAAUGAUCUCACAUGCACCGGAUGGGAUGCUCGUGAUAAAGAGUGACCUGAGCACAGUGAGGUUACUGAUGCAAUGAAGCACAUGGUGCAUACAGAUUUAAGCUCAGGAUUGGCUGUAUCAGCUGCAAUUUCUUCUCCUCUUUGAUCAACUCAGGAAGGACUGGUGGUGGGCUAAGCAUCAGCAAGAACUGAAAGUUUCUCUCUGUCGAGUUGAUAUCCCAUGAUAAUUCUUGAAGGGCAUUUUCUACUCAGAAAGCUUAUGAUGAGCUUAUAUUAAUGCUGGCUUCAAAGUCUUCGAUGUUAUAUGGAAAGCUGGGGAAGCUUCAGGGACUGAGAUAGAAAAUAGCUGCUGUGUUAGCUGAUGCCUCGUGGGAGCAGACAAUGCUUUGGAUUCCAGUGCAGAGGAAGUUGGGGGGAAGAGCUCACACAUUGGCCUCAGUUUUCUAUUCAUUCUCUCUCCAUCAUGAAGCACUGGACUGAUCUGGGGAUCUCACCCUCCCUCCGUUCUACAGCUUGACUUUGUUUAUUCCCUUCGAUGAAGUCAAAAACCUUCCAUGAAUUUUUACCA